ensembl:lncRNA
CAUGAGCUAUGUUUCUUCAUCUAGUUCAUAUUAAUCUCACUCAGUGUAAAGGAUUUUAAAGAGCAAAGCAUUACAAGCUGACAUUGGUGUCAAAAUAUCGAGGAAGAAGAAAACAUGUAAGUUCUAGCUUGUGAAUCCCACUGUGUGUGACAUUUGACUGAGACCUGCAGUGGGAGAGGCAGAAGUGAUAACUGAAGCAGCCUGGAGGACAGAAAUUCCAUUCAAAGUGAAGCCCUCAGGUUGUGUGGGCUGUUCAUUGAGAGAGCACCGAAGUGGAUCAGACCCUGCAGGGCAGAGCUGAGGCUGUUUCUGGAAAGUCUGUGGAGACCAUAAGCUUGAGGGUAGCAGCAAAGGACUGGAGUCUGCAGUUCACAGGGAGAAAGUACUGGAAGAAGAGGGACAGAGAAAACCUACACCUGAAAGAACUGAAGCAAUAAACUUGUCAGUCCAUCGUGAAUAUUGAAAUCAGAAACAAACAGAAAUGAGACUCUCUGAUAAAGCACCCUGUUCCCCCCUCCCUGCACUCAACACAUUGAUACUGCUACACAGAAGCCUGGCAUUUCAGUCACAAUAGAUGAACUGUUGUUAUGAAGGAUGAUCUGAUUGGAAUAAAUGCGAAUGAAGACUUGCUCAGCCAUAUAUUAAAUGUGCUCUGUGGUCAUGUGUGAGACAAACACAAAUUCCAUUAAUCAAAUUUUUAGUAGAUUUUUCCCUUGCCUGCUAGUCUUUUCGUUCUUUUUAAUAGCCAAAAGGAUUUCAGAGAAGAUGAAAAAGGGCAAAACUACUCCCAUUUGGUGAUGCACUGUAACACCACUAAGUCAUCAGGGAAAUGGACCAGGUAUCUGAGUACUUGAAGAAACAGCACAGAGUAUUUUGACAGCAACAUGAAAUACUACAUGUUUCUUGGUGAAUUAACCAGAAUAAGGGAAAUGACAACUGAACUCUGCAUCUGCAGAAGACAAAAAUGGCUCUUUCCUUGCACUUAGACAACACAGCUUAGAUAAGCAUACAAACUGCCUGCUGUGCUGCUACUUCAUAACCUGCAUGGCUGGUACGUUGCUAUCCUAGAUGGGUUAACUCCAUGCUGAUAUAGAAAUGGUCAUGAACUAGCAAUUGCAUUUAUUUACUUUGAAAAUACGUGUCAGGUCCACUGACAUAAGUAAGCCAUGGGCACUAAUAAUGACUCCCUGCACAGAGUUAAAAUCCCAGAUGCAUUAGGUCAGGCAUGUCCAACCUGCAGCCUGCAGGCUGCACACAGCCUGGUCCAGCACAUUCUGCAGCUACCCUCUGCCCAGAGCCAUCACGGCAGCAACUCUAUCCCAGUGAGUGGCCUGACUUGACCCCCAGUGCACACCCAUCACUCACAACACCCAUACAUCUGUGUGAUAUUGGCACUGUCUGGGCUGAAGCCAGGGCACAGAGAGGGCGCAGUGAAGUGCUGACUCAAAUUAUAGCAAAUAAUUGUGUGCAGUUUGAUUCACUGACUAAACGCAGUCCUGUGAACAGCAAAAAAAUAUGCAGCUGUGUUUCUGUCUUGAUAAAGGAAUUUGAGAAUAGGUUUCAAGAUUGCAAAAAAAAUAAUAAUCAUUUUUUGGACUCCAUUUUCAGUCAACAUAAAUACAUUACCUGUGAAUUUUCAAAUUUAAUGUACUGAGCUGCAAUCAGAUAUUCAUCUCCCUCAUCUUUACUAGACUAUUAUAAGCCUUCUCUUACCAAGGAGAAAUAUCCCACGCUGCACAACCAUACCUUAUUCAUGUCACUGCUUUUGGCAGUACAUACAUUUGUGAACAACUGUUUUCAAGGAUGAGGCAUGGGAGUAAAAUUUCAUCAACAAUCUCUAAGAAACACCUGAGAGCUCACUGAGAAUGACAACCACUGCCACUGAACCAGCCUGGUGCAUUAGUUUCACAAAAACAAAGUCACAUAUCCCACUGAUUUUCUGAUUUUGUUGCGUUUUUAAUGUUUUAAUAAGAAAGGAUAAAAAUAAUACAAAAAAAAAAAAAGUUUUGUCACCUAGAUACAUUAACUAUGUUAAAUAUUUCACAAGAGCUCUUUUGAAAGUUACACCUCCUAUUUUAUGAUGUUGGCCCAUGACACUAGAGGCAGAUGUUGGUGAUAGGGCAGUAGAAGCUGAACCUUCCCAUCAAUAUUCCACUGCAGACAGAUGGCAGCAGAGAAACAUUCUAACAAAAUGGUGUUUGAUACGAAAGUAUGUAUGAGGUAAAGGUGUGUCACUGAAUUCCUCCAUGCAGAAAAAAUGGCACCCACUGAUAUUCACUGAUGCUUGCUGAAUGUUUAUGGAGGCCAAAGCGGAUGUGAGCACAGUGAGGUGAUGGGUGGUGUGCUUCAACACUUUUUUUCAUUUCUGGUGAAAAUGCAUAGCUAAUGGUGGCGACUAUGAUCAAAAGCAGUGUUCUGUAGCUGAGAAUUUGCUCUAUCAAACAAUGUUAUUGUGCUCUUUGUACCUGUUGUUGUUUCCAUGGAAAUAAAUAGGCGGAAUUUCUUUCAGAGUAAUCUACAUAUAUGGAGCCCAGAACAAUUUCUCUUCACUCACUGCAGCUCAGGCAAUGCAAAAGGUUGGAUGCCCAUGCAUUACACAAUGUUGGUCAAGUUCUUUGGAUGAGGAAAGAUGGAGAAAGAUGUAAAUAGCAUCACUAUUGUGUUUCUCCUUCAGUAGAGUUGCAUGCCAGUAUACAUUGCUUCUCCAACAUUCUCAGCUAAUUGUGAAAUAUAUGUAUUCCUCAAUAGAUGAAUGACCUACAGAUACUAUGGUUGGCAUUAAACUCUAUGUAUUGUAAAGUUAGCUGUAGUACAGCUGCUAGUAGUUCUGUGAUACUCACACAGGAAAAAGUCUCAUGUUUUUACAUGUCAAUAAACCAACUAACUUUAAGUGAAUUCAGUUGAAAAACAAAUCAAGAAAAGAUUACAUAGAGUCUCUUGUGACAUCAAAUUUCCAAUCGUAAAACUUCACUUAGGUGAAGUUUGAACCUGAGUGCAAGAUUAGUAGGUGAAGCUUAUAGCAGGUAAUUAAUUGCUCCAGUGGAGGAUACUAGGUGGAAGCAAUCAGUUUUAAGUAAAGCCAGUGUUCUCUAGCAUGGUAGACAACAGUGAUAUAUUAAGAAUGCAGCAAUACUGCAAAGUCCAUGAGCAAAAGAUAUCUUAGUUUUAAGACAUAAAGUAUUAGAUUAUCAAGUCAACACUUCCCAGUAAGUAGUAGCUUUUGGAGACUUUCAGAUGUUCUCUGAAGACUCAUUCUGAGUUAACAUCCUCUGUAAUCACCUCUGUUUUCUACCCAUCUGUGACAUUUCAUUUGUUGCAAAAAGGAUGAAAGUAAGAACAUCCUAAAAAUCAUGCAGUGAUUCUUACUCUAACCUCUGCUAAUGAAGUGCGAGCUGAUUAACUGUUUACAAGCAUUGAAUUAACUCCUCUGCUUGGAGACUUAUAUUGACUCAAAAUAUCCACAGAUCAAAUGUACAUGUUCUCUUUGAUUUUUUUAUUGCACCCAACAGUACAGAGUCUGAUAGCACAGAAAGGCUUCAACAGAAGCUCUAGUGUUGUGAAAUAAACACAUGACUUGUGAGAUUACAGUAUUUACUGGUGAUCACAGCACUAUCCAAUUUCAACAUCCUGUAUGAGGAGACUGCAGCCGUGUAGGCAUGUUUUUCUUGGUUACACUGCAGCAUCCUUUUCUUAAGACAUACUUCCAAGAAGUUGUAUCACAUGAGCAAUGAGUAAAUUUUGUGUAAAGCACCUUAAACUGUUUCUCAAAUUAAACAGCACAAUGUAAAAUAUAAACAAUUAUUUAAUAGUUAAAACAUUGAGCUAUCAUGUACUCAAUUGAAAAAAAAAAAAAAAAUGUCCUCUGAUUUCCCAGGCAGGUCAUUCUUGAGUAGGAAAUAUUAUAUAGAUCAAAGAGCUUUAAAGACAGAGUAAGUUAUAAAAGAUCAUUAAUUUUCUCCUUACUCCUGGAUAAGGAGUGUAAGAUAGUAUCAGACUAUCACUAGAGAGGACUUACCCCAAAUUAAAUUAGUCAAAUCAAUCAAAUAGAACCACUAUGCUGCUGAAACACAAGGCUCAGAAGAAAAUGUCAUUUGAAGUUCCACUUGAAGUUGUUGCCCAGGCAGUUUGCAGUGGUAUGUAUAUAAUAUAACAUCACUUGGUAACGUGAGACAAUUAUUUUUGUAUUUAGGGAAGGUAAUUAGGAAAAAAUGUUUAAAUCACGGGAAUACUUUUUUCCUCUUCUAAAAAGUUUGUCAUUGGUUGGUCCUUCUGGCUACCAGGGUGCACUGCCAGCACAGAUACAAAUAGUCACCAACCAGAAGA